GCCCUUGUGGCGCAGUGGUAGCGCCCCCACAUAUGUUGCGACAGCCAAACCCGAUACAUGUGGGUGACACCGGUUCGAUUCCGGCCGAGGGCU